rnacentral:rRNA from 1 species
UACGUAGGGUGCGAGCGUUAAUCGGAAUUACUGGGCGUAAAGCGUGCGCAGGCGGUUCUCCAAGUCCGUUGUGAAAGCCCCGGGCUCAACCUGGGAAUGGCGAUGGAUACUGGGCAGCUAGAGUGUGUCAGAGGAUGGUGGAAUUCCCGGUGUAGCGGUGAAAUGCGUAGAGAUCGGAAGGAACACCUGUGGCGAAAGCGGCUCACUGGACCAUAACUGACGCUGAGGCACGAAAGCUAGGGGAGCAAACAGG